rnacentral:rRNA from 1 species
UACGAAGGGAGCUAGCGUUGUUCGGAAUCACUGGGCGUAAAGCGCACGUAGGCGGAUGUGUCAGUCAGGGGUGAAAUCCCGGAGCUCAACUUCGGAACUGCCUUUGAUACAGCACGUCUUGAGUCCGAUAGAGGUGGGUGGAAUUCCUAGUGUAGAGGUGAAAUUCGUAGAUAUUAGGAAGAACACAGGUGGCGAAGGCGGCCCACUGGAUCGGUACUGACGCUGAGGUGCGAAAGCGUGGGGAGCAAACAGG